GCCCCUGUAGUCUAGCUCGGUCCAGGAUAUCGCCCUUUCGAGGCGGAGACCCGGGGUCAUUCCUUCUUUUAGAAAAAGAAGGUCUGACAACUCCAAGAAAAGGAGGUUACCGCUUCGCGAAAUUCAGACGUGAAGUGGGUAGGGAAUUCAAAUCCCGGCAGGGGCA
rnacentral:tRNA from 1 species